GAUCAGACAGCUACCCGAAGGCCUGCAAAUGGCCAACCGUGGUGCAGGUGUCUGUCCUAGGUACUGGAACUAGCGACACUGAGCUGUGGGAACUUGCCCCUUGGCCGGAAGACCUAGACGUCAGAGGAACGAGGGUUAUUUGGCCCGGAGACAAUUAGACCUAGAGGAAUUAUUGUACUAAGAAAGUAAUUCCUCUUCUAAGCACUCAUUGCCUGGUGUCUCCGUGCUACGGACGGAGCUCUGACACCUCUGGAAGAUCCUGAAAGAGAAAGAUGACAGAUGAGAAACGUCAGGUCUUCCUACCACCGAGGACUCGUGAGGGGCAUGAUGGAUUUUUGGCAACCAGCCUUCAACCCUAUGAAUGGAAAGUUGGUAGAACUUGUUAGCUCUUGCUUCCGUCUUGGUUCUCCUUUUACCACAGCGGCAAACUGGAGGAAGUAGCCUGAGACUCUGGGCUCAUUUUCCUCCCCUGGGCUCAAGUUGGAGAAAACAACGCUAAUUACAUUUCUAAUGGCAGCAAAUAAAUUUGAAAGUAAAGCUCUUUUGGUAUGUCAAGGUAAGUUUUUUGUCAUACUUAAGGAGCGUGUCACACACUAGUCAUACAUAAGAUCUGGAUCUGUAAUAAUUCGAGUGGGAGUGGGACCAAGGUGUUGGUAUAUAUAUAUUUUUUGUUUAUUUAUUCAUUUUGAGAGAGACAGAGAG